rnacentral:rRNA from 1 species
CGCUGGCGGCGUGCCUAAUACAUGCAAGUCGGACGGUCUUUCUAUGGAAGCUUGCUUCCACUGAGAAGAUAGUGGCGAACGGGUGAGUAACACGUGGGUAACCUGCCCAUAAGAGGGGGGAUAACAUCCGGAAACGGGUGCUAAUACCGCAUAGUUUUCUUGAUCGCAUGAUCGGGAAAGGAAAGACGGCCUUUGUGCUGUCGCUUAUGGAUGGACCCGCGGCGUAUUAGUUAGUUGGUGAGGUAACGGCUCACCAAGACGAUGAUACGUAGCCGACCUGAGAGGGUGAUCGGCCACAUUGGGACUGAGACACGGCCCAAACUCCUACGGGAGGCAGCAGUAGGGAAUCUUCCGCAAUGGACGAAAGUCUGACGGAGCAACGCCGCGUGAGUGAAAGAAGGUUUUCGGAUCGUAAAACUCUGUUGUCAGAGAAGAACAAGUUGGAGAGUAACUGCUCCAGCCUUGACGGUAUCUGACCAGAAAGCCACGGCUAACUACGUGCCAGCCGCCGC